AACGAACGCUGGCGGCAUGCCUAACACAUGCAAGUCGAACGAGACCUUCGGGUCUAGUGGCGCACGGGUGCGUAACGCGUGGGAACCUGCCCUUAGGUUCGGAAUAACUCCCCGAAAGGGGUGCUAAUACCGGAUAAUGUCUACGGACCAAAGAUUUAUCGCCUUUGGAUGGGCCCGCGUUGGAUUAGCUAGUUGGUAGGGUAAAAGCCUACCAAGGCGACGAUCCAUAGCUGGUCUGUGAGGAUGAUUAGCCACACUGGGACUGAGACACGGCCCAGACUCCUACGGAACGCAGCAGUGGGGAAUAUUGGACGAUGGACGAAAGCCUGAUCCAGCAGUGCCGCGUGAGUGAUGAAGGCCUUAGGGUUGUAAAGCUCUUUUACCCGGGAUGAUAGUGACAGUACCGGGUGAAUAAGCUCCGGCUAACUCCGUG
rnacentral:rRNA from 1 species